UACGGAGGGUGCAAGCGUUAAUCGGAAUUACUGGGCGUAAAGCGUGCGCAGGCGGCUGGAUAAGUCAGAUGUGAAAGCCCCGGGCUUAACCUGGGAAUUGCAUUUGAAACUGUCCGGCUAGAGUCUUGUAGAGGGUGGUAGAAUUUCAGGUGUAGCGGUGAAAUGCGUAGAGAUCUGAAGGAAUACCAGUGGCGAAGGCGGCCACCUGGACAAAGACUGACGCUCAUGCACGAAAGCGUGGGGAGCAAACAGG
rnacentral:rRNA from 1 species